rnacentral:rRNA from 1 species
GACGAACGCUGGCGGCGUGCUUAACACAUGCAAGUCGAACGCAGUGGCGAACGGGUGAGUAACACGUGAGUAACCUGCCCCCUUCUUUGGGAUAACGCCAGGAAACGGGUGCUAAUACUGGAUAGUGGGGGAUGGGCUCGCGGCCUAUCGGGUUGUUGGUGGGGUGAUGGCCUACCAAGGGUUUGACGGGUCGCCGGCCGGAGAGGGUGACCGGUCACAGUGGGACUGAGAUACGGUCCAGACUCAUACGGGAGGAAGCAGUGGGGAAUAUUGGACAAUAGGCGAAAGCCUGAUGCAGCGACGCGGCGUGAGGGAUGACGGCCUUCGGGUUGUAAACCUCUUUCGCUCAUGGUCGGGUAGUGGGUAAAGAAGCGCCGGCUAACUACGUGCCAGCAGCCGCGGUAAUUC